rnacentral:lncRNA from 1 species
GUGAUUGUACAGAAUCCGUAAUUACUGAGUGUUCAAAUCGACAAAUGUGUCCUGCUGCUGAUAGACUCAGUAUUGUAUACUAUAGUAAAGUAAGGGACGUUUCUCUGUUAGAAAGGCUGCUAUAGUUUCUUAAUAACGUGAGUAUGUUACAGUAUAUCGUAUAAAAUAUCUUAUAGAAGCCGCACUCAAUCGAGGGAGAGAGAGAGUUGACAUUGACGAAUUUUUACAGGGGACAUUUCAAGCUCUAUAUUAACAUAAUAAAUGCAUGAAUGAGUGUUCCAACUAUGCUUUUACUUAAAUAGAAUACAUGAUAGUGUUGGGAAAGCAUUAAGAACGGCUAACCAAUGUCAUGUGACUGCCAGUUCAUCGUCGUUUGAGUUCGUCGUUGAGCAUUUAAAUGAGUUCCUACAUAGCUAGACUUCAUACAACGGGGCAAAGGGCACGUAUUUAAAUAUAUUUGUGCCCCCCACACUUGCAAAAUCGUAGAGUGUGGAUAAGAGAUCAUAAACUCAUAGGCUGAAUCCAUUCAGCUUGAUGUAGGCUGAAUCCAAAGACCACUUGCCUCAAAAUUCAUUCAAAGUUAUUCAAUGUCGUCUGUAGGCUUGUCCUGUUUUAUAUAUAUGUCAAAUUUAAUUCAGACGAAUUUAAGUUGUUAUUAUAGUCGUCGAUUGACCGGUCGAGUUUAAAAUGGUUUCGUUUCAAACGACGAAUUUAACUCCGACAAAUUCAUCUCAAGUCAUGAUUAGCGAUCAGCGAUGCAGAAUUACACAGAAAUAGAAACCACAACACGGGAUCAGAAAGACAGAAAAAAACGUUAACAUAAUUUAUGCAUUUAAUUCGAUACGACGUCGUAUGAAACGAAGACGCACUAUGACGAAUAGGACGUCUUGGACGAGUUUCAUUUACCAGAUGAAUUUAAUUCGUUAUACGACGCACUAACGUCGCAUUUACUUCGUUCAAUCAAAUUCGUCUGAAUUAAAUUCGACGUAGCGCGACGUAUGAAACGCGAGUAUUUGUAGUAGCGCGACGUAUGAAACAGGCGUUAUAUACUUCUUAGCUAGUUUCCACUCAGGAAAAUUAUCCGUGGAUUGGACGGUCAAGAAAAUUUUUCUUUGUCUUGUGAGCUCUGGGUUGGAACUAAUGACUUUAACACAAAGAAAAAUUUUCUUGUCCGUGAAUCCACGGAUAAUUUUCCUGAGUGGAACUAGCCUUAAAGGCCCAUUUCCGCUCAAGAAAAUUUUCUACGGACAGAAAAUUUUCCGAAAAUAUCAUUGUUAAAAGUUGAAAAUUUUCAACUUCAGAAUUUUUUUCCGACGGAAAAUUUGUGUCUGCCAAUCACAUUUUACAAAAUUUUCUUUAAGCGGAAAAUUUUCCUGAGUGGAAAUGGACCUUACGGUUAAACCAUUUACGGACUUUACGGACUCAUUCGUGAACUAUUCUAUAGUGUAACUCUAGGCCAAAAUUUGCGGUAUAUUUCUUAGUAUAUUACGGUAUAAAAAUUAUAUUUUUUGUAUUUAGAUACUGGUGAAGAGUAAAAGAAAUUUUACGCGGCUAUGGAGAGAUUUCAGGUAUAUGUUUUAUAAAGUAACGAUGGAAAUCUUUCUUUUGCAGCUUUGCUAAAUGCUAACUGUAUUUUGUUCAUAGUUUUUGUUGUAUAACAGCCACUGUAUAAUGUCAGUACAACGAAUCAGCAAUUAUACGCUCUAGCAUGGUAUGUAUGCCAUUUUAGGUGAAACAAGAGAAACUCAAAGUGUUGAAUGUGACGAUAGUCGGAGCUUCUGGGGUUGACGGGUGCUCCAAG